UGCUCCAGGCACAGAGCUGAAGUUGUGUAGAUUUCUCCUCCUUCUCCCCUCCUAUCUAAUGUUUUUUCUUUCCUCUUCAUUCUCCAAAAAGAAAAAUGAGACUUGAUGGAGCGUUCAGUUUUUGUUGCUUUUUUUUGGUAGAAACAGUCUGUUAGGGCCAUGGAGAAGAUUGCCCAGGACACCUGAAGGCAUUAUUUUAUGCCAGUCAUCUGCAAGGAGAAAAACAGUGAAGGAAACACCAGCAUUUGUAGUUGUUGCUGAGCAGAGCUGUACAGAGCCAAGAACAUACAGUUUUCCCUGCAAUCUUGCCAGUGAGGAAUAGACCAAAGAUGCUGGGAGUGGGGGACUGAGCCAACAACCACAUAGAGCUAAACUACCUGUCAACUUAAAUCACAGCACUUCAGAGAAACAAAACCAGCAGCUCCGAUGAUCAGAGCCAAGCAACCCUAGAAUGUGCAAGAAGGUUCAAAGGAAGGAAAUUAAUGGUGGAAAAGCAGUACUCCUGGGAUGGAGGUAGCUGGAAACUACAGAAGAAUCUGUGCUGAACACAGGUCCAUGGAGGCUAUCUGCAAAAUUAGCGUGCAAACUGGAACAGCAGUGAGAUGUGGUGUUGGAUUUGUUAUUAGUUUCUUUGGAAGAAGGCAUAGGGAAGCUACACUCUCAAUAGCAGGAAUACAAUCCAAAGCGGUGUGAGAACUGAUCAGUGCUGCACUUGGCAUGAACUUAAGGGCACAUCUGUAUACCUCAAAAUUUAGAAAAAUGUGGUGAGUAGAUGGUCUUCAGAUCUCUGGAGCAACACUUUCUCAUCCAGAAACAGUCCCACUCCUCACUCCAUUUCAGCUGUAUGGGCUGGUGGCAAUCACUGCUUAAUUGGAAGGUCACUGUGCCACCAGCCUGUUCUUUGCCAUGGCAAAGAAGCAAAGACCCAACCUGCUAAUGAAGAUGAGGCAGACUGGCCUAUACUUGAAGGGAGAAAGGGCUGAGCCAAACAUCUCCAAUUUCUGAAGAGACAAAGUAUACCUUUGCCAAGCUGUUCUCUAGGGAAAGUAAUCCACUUGGUAUUUGUGGGGAAAACUGCAGUUGUUUAGGCAUAUUUCAACAGUGACAACAGUUGAAAUUUAGUAGCACUAUUUCACUUAGCAACCUUUGGGUGCCUCCUGGCAGUCCAUAUUAGUGAACAGUGAGUCAAAACAAACAGGAGCAAUAGUAGUUAUCAGUAUCUUUGCAAUAUCUAGACACAACAUAAUCAGCUUCAGUACUUUGUGUUUGCUUUUUGUUGUAUGGUUGUUUCUU